rnacentral:rRNA from 1 species
UACGUAGGGAGCAAGCGUUGUCCGGAUUUAUUGGGCGUAAAGAGCUCGUAGGUGGUUCAGCAAGUCGGGUGUGAAAGCUCUGGGCUCAACCCAGAGAUGCCACCCGAUACUGCUGUGACUAGAGUCAGGUAGGGGAUCGCGGAAUUCCAGGUGUAGCGGUGAAAUGCACAGAUAUCUGGAGGAACACCAGCGGCGAAGGCGGCGAUCUGGGCCUGUACUGACACUGAGGAGCGAAAGCGUGGGGAGCGAACGGG